rnacentral:sRNA from 1 species
UACACAGAGAGAGAGAGUUUAACAAUAACAAUAAUAAUCAUGGAAGAAAAGGCUAUCAAUUUGAGAAUGGGGAUAUGGAAAGAGUUGGAGGGAGGGGCUAGAGGAGGAAAGGGAAUUAUAUUUUUAUUAACAUUGUAUAAAAAACAUGUGAAUCAUAUUCUAUGUUGUUAGGCUUUGGUCACACCAGCAACAUUUUACUUUCUCUGGGGGAAAAACAUUUUAAGCAAACAUGGAAAAAAUUGUUAAGUUUUGUUCUUGGUUGUGGGUUUGGGGAUUUGUUUUCUUGUGUUUAAUAUCUUUUCUAAUUAAAGAAAACAAUAUCCACUGAUGCAAUUGACAUUUUAACCUAGUGAUCUUGGCUACAUGUUCUGAUACUCUUGUUGCAGUGCCUGGAAGAAAUACAGGAAGAUGAUGAAGCAUUUAUCAAUGCGAUAGUGAGAACCAUUAGAGUCACCUUGAGGUUCCCUUUCUGUUACUUUUCAACUAAAUUUCAUCCCUCACCCAUCCUGCUUAGUCUAGAGAGACAUUAAUGAUACAUCUGAACUCCUGUACAGAAUGACAACACAGCAAGAAAAAGAAGGACCCAUUUCUCCCCUUCCAGCUUUCCAGAUCAUGUGGAUGACAGCGUCAAGCCAUUUCUCAAACCAUGUGGUGAGACUGCACUGACAGAAAUAAUCCAGGCUGAAAUGGAAACAGAUUGCAAGGCGUUAGGAACCGCAUGUUGAGUAGUACCUUCAGCUGCGCACACUGAGGACAACCAAGGCAUUGAUCUACAACACGACUGGGCUAGAGUGAAGUCUACACCAGCUAAGAAUAGUCUUAGAGGAAAACUGACCAGGACCCCUGGCUAUUGGAGAGCUCUAUUCACACUCAUGAGUUGGGGACUCUUGGGAUAUGAAGGGAAAUGGAAAGAAGAUAGG